AGAACGAACGCUGGCGGCAGGCCUCAAACAUGCAAGUCUAGGGGGUGUAGCAAUACAUCACCGGCGGACGGGUGCGUAACACGUGGGAAUAUACCGUUUGGUUCGGAACAACGCAGGGAAACUUGCGCUAAUACCGAAUGUGCCCUUACGGGGAAAGAUUUAUCGCCAAAGGAUUAGCCCCGCGUCCGAUUAGCUAGUUGGUGAGGUAAUGGCUCACCAAGGCUCCGAUCGGUAGCUGUUCUGAGAGGAAGAUCAGCCACACUGGGACUGAGACACGGCCCAGACUCCUACGGGAGGCAGCAGUUGGGAAUCUUGGACAAUGGGGGAAACCCUGAUCCAGCCAUGCCGCGUGAGUGAUGAAGGCCUUCGGGUUGUAAAACUCUUUCGACGGGGACGAGUAAUGACGGUACCCGUAGAAGAAGCUCCGGCUAACUUCGUGCCAGCAGCCGC
rnacentral:rRNA from 1 species